GGAAUAUUGCACAAUGGGCGCAAGCCUGAUGCAGCGACGCCGCGUGAGGGAUGACGGCCUUCGGGUUGUAAACCUCUUUCAGUAGGGAAGAAGCGAAAGUGACGGUACCUGCAGAAGAAGCGCCGGCUAACUACGUGCCAGCAGCCGCGGUAAUACGUAGGGCGCAAGCGUUAUCCGGAAUUAUUGGGCGUAAAGAGCUCGUAGGCGGUUUGUCGCGUCUGCCGUGAAAGUCCGGGGCUCAACUCCGGAUCUGCGGUGGGUACGGGCAGACUAGAGUGAUGUAGGGGAGACUGGAAUUCCUGGUGUAGCGGUGAAAUGCGCAGAUAUCAGGAGGAACACCGAUGGCGAAGGCAGGUCUCUGGGCAUUAACUGACGCUGAGGAGCGAAAGCAUGGGGAGCGAACAGGAUUAGAUACCCUGG
rnacentral:rRNA from 1 species